rnacentral:rRNA from 1 species
GUCGAACGAGAAAGUGGAGCAAUCCAUGAGUAAAGUGGCGCACGGGUGAGUAACACGUGACUAACCUACCCUUGAGUGGGGGAUAACUGAGGGAAACCUUAGCUAAUACCGCAUAAUACCUACGGGUCAAAGGAGCAAUUCGCUUAAGGAGGGGGUCGCGGCCGAUUAGUUAGUUGGCGGGGUAAUGGCCCACCAAGACGAUGAUCGGUAUCCGGCCUGAGAGGGCGCACGGACACACUGGAACUGAAACACGGUCCAGACUCCUACGGGAGGCAGCAGUGGGGAAUUUUGCGCAAUGGGGGAAACCCUGACGCAGCAACGCCGCGUGGAGGAUGAAGUCCUUCGGGACGUAAACUCCUUUCGAUCGGGACGAUUAUGACGGUACCGGAAGAAGAAGCCCCGGCUAACUUCGUGCCAGCAGCCGCGGUAAUACGAGGGGGGCGAGCGUUGUUCGGAAUUAUUGGGCGUAAAGGGUGCGUAGGCGGUUUGGUAAGUCUGAUGUGAAAUCUAUGGGCUCAACUCAUAGCCUGCAUCGGAAACUGCCGGGCUUGAGUGUGGGAGAGGUGAGUGGAAUUCCUGGUGUAGCGGUGAAAUGCGUAGAUAUCAGGAGGAACACCUGUGGCGAAAGCGGCUCACUGGACCACAACUGACGCUGAUGCACGAAAGCUAGGGGAGCAAACAGGAUUAGAUACCCUGGUAGUCCUAGCCCUAAACGAUGACUGCUUGGGUGUGACGGGUACCCAA